AGUGAACGCUGGCGGUAGGCCUAACACAUGCAAGUCGAACGGCAGCACAGUAAGAGCUUGCUCUUACGGGUGGCGAGUGGCGGACGGGUGAGGAAUACAUCGGAAUCUACUUUUUCGUGGGGGAUAACGUAGGGAAACCUACGCUAAUACCGCAUACGACCUACGGGUGAAAGCAGGGGAUCUUCGGACCUUGCGCGGUUGAAUGAGCCGAUGUCGGAUUAGCUAGUUGGCGGGGUAAAGGCCCACCAAGGCGACGAUCCGUAGCUGGUCUGAGAGGAUGAUCAGCCACACUGGAACUGAGACACGGUCCAGACUCCUACGGGAGGCAGCAGUGGGGAAUAUUGGACAAUGGGCGCAAGCCUGAUCCAGCCAUACCGCGUGGGUGAAGAAGGCCUUCGGGUUGUAAAGCCCUUUUGUUGGGAAAGAAAAGCAGCAGGUUAAUACCACGCUGUUCUGACGGUACCCAAAGAAUAAGCACCGGCUAACUUCGUG
rnacentral:rRNA from 1 species